GAGGGUAUGCUCAGUGGUUAGAGUGCCUGCCUAGCAUGCAUGAAGUCCUGUGUUCAAUCCCCGGUACCUCCA
rnacentral:tRNA from 1 species